CCUACGGGAGGCUGCAGUGGGGAAUAUUGGACAAUGGGCGAAAGCCUGAUCCAGCCAUGCCGCGUGUGUGAAGAAGGCCUUCGGGUUGUAAAGCACUUUCAGUGGGGAAGAAAGCCUUGGGGCUAAUACCCUCGAGGAAGGACAUCACCCACAGAAGAAGCACCGGCUAACUCCGUGCCAGCAGCCGCGGUAAUACGGAGGGUGCGAGCGUUAAUCGGAAUUACUGGGCGUAAAGCGCGCGUAGGCGGUCUGAUAAGCCGGUUGUGAAAGCCCCGGGCUCAACCCGGGAACGGCAUCCGGAACUGUCAGGCUAGAGUGCAGGAGAGGAAGGUAGAAUUCCCGGUGUAGCGGUGAAAUGCGUAGAGAUCGGGAGGAAUACCAGUGGCGAAGGCGGCCUUCUGGACUGACACUGACGCUGAGGUGCGAAAGCGUGGGUAGCAAACAGGAUUAGAUACCCGGGUAGUC
rnacentral:rRNA from 1 species